GAUGAACGCUGGCGGCGUGCCUAAUACAUGCAAGUCGAGCGAACAGACGAGGAGCUUGCUCCUCUGACGUUAGCGGCGGACGGGUGAGUAACACGUGGAUAACCUACCUAUAACACUGGGAUAGCUUCGGGAAACCGGAGCUAAUACCGGAUAAUAUAUUGAACCGCAUGGUUCAAUAGUGAAAGACGGUUUUGCUGUCACUUAUAGAUGGAUCCGCGCCGCAUUAGCUAGUUGGUAAGGUAACGGCUUACCAAGGCAACGAUGCGUAGCCGACCUGAGAGGGUGAUCGGCCACACUGGAACUGAGACACGGUCCAGACUCCUACGGGAGGCAGCAGUAGGGAAUCUUCCGCAAUGGGCGAAAGCCUGACGGAGCAACGCCGCGUGAGUGAUGAAGGUCUUCGGAUCGUAAAACUCUGUUAUUAGGGAAGAACAAAUGUGUAAGUAACUAUGCACGUCUUGACGGUACCUAAUCAGAAAGCCACGGCUAACUACGUG
rnacentral:rRNA from 1 species